rnacentral:rRNA from 1 species
AGAGUUUGAUCAUGGCUCAGAACGAACGCUGGCGGCGUGCUUAACACAUGCAAGUCUAGGGGAAAGUACCUUCGGGUACGAUUACACUGGCGCACGGGUGAGUAACGCGUGAGGAAUCUGCCCAUUAGAGAGGGACAACAUUCCGAAAGGGAUGCUAAUACCUCAUACGACCACAGAUCGCAUGUUCUGUGGUGAAAGACGGUUUCGGCUGUCGCUGAUGGAUGAUCUCGCGUAACAUUAGAUAGUUGGUGGGGUAACGGCCUACCAAGUCUGCGAUGUUUAACCGGCCUGAGAGGGUGGCCGGUCACAUAGGGACUGAGACACGGCCCUAACUCCUACGGGAGGCAGCAGUGGGGAAUUUUGCGCAAUGACCGAAAGGUUGACGCAGCGACGCCGCGUGUAUGACGAAGGUUUUCGGAUCGUAAAGUACUUUCAGCAGGGAAGAAUAGGUGUAAUAGUAACUGAUUACAUUAUGACGGUACCUGCAGAAGCAGCCCCGGCUAACUCCGUGCCAGCAGCCGCGGUAAUACNGAGGGGGCAAGCGUUGUUCGGAGUCACUGGGCGUAAAGCGCACGUAGGCGGAUAUGCAAGUCAGGAGUUAAAGGCGUCGGCUCA